UCCUCAAAGUGUGGUCUGCCCCUCUGCUUGAUAAAAAUGCAGAAUCUCAGGCUCUCUCCAGUCCCAGUGAAUUAGAAUCUGCAUUUUAGACUCCAUGGCAGGUGAUUCUUAUGCAUGUUAAGUGCCUAGAAGCAGAGCCAAGAUAACGGUGUGCUGCAGGAGAGCAAGAGAUUCCUGGAUCACACGAGCAUGAGUGGAUAAAUGGAACAGACACCCCUUUUCCCGGGUGACGUUCAUACACCCAAAUGGCGUGGGAUGCAACCUGCAUCUCUUGUGUCAGUGUUGAAGGAUUCCCACGGCGAGAUGCUACUCCACUCUGCAUUGUCUAUUCCUAUCUUCUUUUUGCCAGUUAUGUGUCUGCUGGGCCGGGUUGCUUUCAUGUUCUAAAAUAGGAGAUCUAUGCUGCUUGACAUCAGUAUUUCCCCGCGUUUCUCCCUCCACGCUCAGGGCUGGCUAAUGCUUUCCAGAUGAGGUGCGAGCAGCUGCUAAUUGUACCCGGAUCAGUCUUGAUUUGUGUUUCAGUCAGCAAGGCACCUCACUAAUGGGUCUGAAACUUGGCAGCAGGCCUGGGACCAGUGUCAAAGGAAACAGAUCCGAAAAGCAUGCAGAGAAAGGCUUUCCGAGGACUUGGCAGGCAGCACUGAACUCUGACAGCAGCCAGCGAGCAAAAGCUUACAUUCCAAGCCUGACAGGGUUGAGGGGCUCAGACACACCUUGGCUUUAUGAGCUGAGGCCUGAGGCGGCCUCUCCUGGCUUAAGCUCCUGGAGCCAGUUUUCCUGGAAUUGAGUUGGAAAGGGGCCUUGUUAGGGGAAGCUGAGAGCUGAGGCCUAAGGCUUUUCUGAAUUGGACACAUUCACCGUGCUCACUUAAAGAGAAAAAAUCACCUCUGUAAGAAGGAAGAAAUCCACUUGCCAUGAUGAAUUCCAACUUGUUCAGCGGGAAGGAGAACCCACACAUAUAGGAAUAUUUGUGCAGGCAAGUGGAGGGUGAGAGAAACGGAAAUAUGUCCAGUCACCAGUGGA
rnacentral:lncRNA from 1 species